rnacentral:rRNA from 1 species
UGGGGAAUAUUGGACAAUGGGCGCAAGCCUGAUCCAGCCAUGCCGCGUGAGUGAAGAAGGCCUUCGGGUUGUAAAGCUCUUUCGGCGGGGACGAAACGGUCCGGGCUAACACCACGGACUAAUGACGGUACUCGCAGAAGAAGCACCGGCUAACUACGUGCCAGCAGCCGCGGUAAUACGUAGGGUGCAGGCGUUAAUCGGAAUUACUGGGCGUAAAGCGUGCGCAGGCGGCUCCUUAAGUCAGAUGUGAAAGCCCCGGGCUUAACCUGGGAACUGCGUUUGGAACUGGGGAGCUAGAGUGUGGAAGAGGGGGGUGGAAUUCCAGGUGUAGCAGUGAAAUGCGUAGAGAUCUGGAGGAACACCGAUGGCGAAGGCAGCCCCCUGGGCUAACACUGACGCUCAUGCACGAAAGCGUGGGGAGCAAACAGGAUUAGAUACCCUGGUAGUCCACGCCCUAAACGAUGUCAACUAGUUGUCGGGGAAGCAAUUCCUUGGUAACGAAGCUAACGCGUGAAGUUGACCGCCUGGGGAGUACGGCCGCAAGGUUA